GAUGAACGCUAGCGGCAGGCCUAAUACAUGCAAGUCGAACGAUACCAGAGAGCUUGCUUUCUGGGAAAGUGGCGCACGGGUGCGUAACGCGUAUGCAACCUACCUUAAUCAGGGGGAUAGCCUCUCGAAAGAGAGAUUAACACCGCAUAAAAUCACACUUCGGCAUCGAAGAAUGAUCAAAUAUUUAUAGGAUUAAGAUGGGCAUGCGUGACAUUAGCUAGUUGGUAAGGUAACGGCUUACCAAGGCUACGAUGUCUAGGGGAUCUGAGAGGAUGACCCCCCACACUGGUACUGAGACACGGACCAGACUCCUACGGGAGGCAGCAGUAAGGAAUAUUGGUCAAUGGGGGCAACCCUGAACCAGCCAUGCCGCGUGCAGGAAGACGGCCCUACGGGUUGUAAACUGCUUUUAUACGGGAAUAAAUCUCGCUACGUGUAGUGAGUUGAAUGUACUGUAAGAUAAGGAUCGGCUAACUCCGUGCCAGCAGCCG
rnacentral:rRNA from 1 species